rnacentral:rRNA from 1 species
AAACUUGAGAGUUUGAUCCUGGCUCAGAACGAACGCUGGCGGCAUGCCUUAUACAUGCAAGUCGAACGAGAAAGUCACUUCGGUGGCGAGUAGAGUGGCGCACGGGUGAGUAACGCGUAGAUGAUCUACCCUUCAGUCUGGGACAACUCUUGGAAACGGGAGCUAAUACCGGAUAAAACCUUCGGGUUGAAAGCUUUAGUGCUGGAGGACGAGUCUGCGUA